ACGCAGAAGGAGAGCACGAGCCGGAAAUGGAAAAGCCGGUACAAGCGUAUAGCAGUCAUGCAGGCAAAACCGCAUGAAAAAUGUAAAGCGUUAUGUGGAUCGAACAUUAGUAGAGAAGCGUGUGAGCCAGCUGCCAAGAAAAGCCGCUAUUGUUUCAUAAGUACCCGUACCGUAAACCGACACAGGUGGAUGAGGAGAGAAUCCUAAGGCCGGCGGGAGAAGUGUUGUUAAGGAACUCGGCAAAAUGACUCCGUAACUUCGGGAGAAGGAGUGCCACAGAGAUGUGGCCGCAGAGAAAUGGCCCAAGCAACUGUUUAGCAAAAACACAGGUCUAUGCAAAACCGAAAGGUGAGGUAUAUGGGCUGACGCCUGCCCGGUGCUGGAAGGUUAAGAGGAGAGGUUAGAGCAAUCGAAGCUUUGAAUUUAAGCCCCAGUAAACGGCGGCCGUAACAAUAACGGUCCUAAGGUAGCGAAAUUCCUUGUCGGGUAAGUUCCGACCCGCACGAAAGGCGUAAUGAUUUGGGCACUGUCUCAACAACACACCCGGUGAAAUUGAAAUACCAGUGAAGAUGCUGGUUACCUGCGCCAGGACGGAAAGACCCCAUGGAGCUUUACUCCAGUUUGAUACUGGGAUUCGGUACUGUCUGUACAGGAUAGGUGGGAGGCUAGGAAAUGGUGACGCCAGUUGCCAUGGAGCCAACCUUGGGAUACCACCCUUACAGUACUGGGUUUCUAACCUGCAGCCGUAACCCGGCUGGGGGACAAUGUCUGACGGGGAGUUUGACUGGGGCGGUCGCCUCCGAAAGAGUAUCGGAGGCGCUCAAAGGUUCCCUCAGAACGGUUGGAAACCGUUCGAAGAGUGCAAAGGCAGAAGGGAGCUUGACUGCGACACCGACGGGUGGAGCAGAUACGAAAGUAGGACUUAGUGAUCCGGUGGUAUAAAGUGGGAUUGCCAUCGCUCAACGGAUAAAAGCUACCCUGGGAUAACAGGCUUAUCGCUCCCAAGAGUUCACAUCGACGGAGUGGUUUGGCACCUCGAUGUCGGCUCAUCGCAUCCUGGAGCUGUAGCAGGUUCCAAGGGUUGGGCUGUUCGCCCAUUAAAGCGGUACGCGAGCUGGGUUCAGAACGUCGUGAGACAGUUCGGUCCCUAUCCGGCGUGGGCGUAGGAUAUUUGAGAGGAGCUGUCCUUAGUACGAGAGGACCGGGAUGGACAAACCUCUGGUGUAUCUGUUGUUUUACCAAAGGCAUGGCAGAGUAGCCAAGUUUGGCAGGGAUAAACGCUGAAGGCAUCUAAGCGUGAAGCCCCCCUCAAGAUAAGAUAUCCCAUCUUCGGAGUAAGACCCCUUGAAGACUACAAGGUUGAUAGGCUUCAGGUGUAAGUGUGGUAACGCACUCAGCUGAGAAGUACUAAUAGGUCGAGGACUUAUGAA
rnacentral:rRNA from 1 species